UACAGCGGGUGCAAGCGUUAAUCGGAAUGACUGGGCGUAAAGCGUGUGUAGGUGGUUGGAUAAGUUAGAUGUGAAAUCCCCGGGCUUAACCUGGGAACUGCGUUUAAAACUGUCUAGCUAGAGUACUGUAGAGGAUAGUGGAAUUUCCAGUGUAGCGGUGAAAUGCGUAGAUAUUGGAAGGAACACCAGUGGCGAAGGCGACUAUCUGGAUAGAUACCGACACUGAGACACGAAAGCGUGGGGAGCAAACAGG
rnacentral:rRNA from 1 species